UGGGGAAUAUUGCACAAUGGGGGAAACCCUGAUGCAGCGACGCCGCGUGAGCGAAGAAGGCUUUCGAGUCGUAAAGCUCUGUCCUAUGAGAAGAUAAUGACGGUAUCAUAGGAGGAAGCCCUGGCUAAAUACGUGCCAGCAGCCGCGGUAAUACGUAGGGGGCUAGCGUUAUCCGGAUUUACUGGGCGUAAAGGGUGCGUAGGUGGUCUUUCAAGUCGGUGGUUAAAGGCUACGGCUCAACCGUAGUUAGCCUCCGAAACUGGAAGACUUGAGUGCUGGAGAGGAAAGUGGAAUUCCCAGUGUAGCGGUGAAAUGCGUAGAUAUUGAGAGGAACACCAGUAGCGAAGGCGGCUUUCUGGACUGCAACUGACACUGAGGCACGAAAGCGUGGGUAGCAAACAGG
rnacentral:rRNA from 1 species